rnacentral:rRNA from 1 species
UACGGAGGAUGCAAGCGUUAUCCGGCAUGAUUGGGCGUCAAGCGUCCGCAGGUGGCAAUGUAAGUCUGCUGUUAAAGAGUGAGGCUCAACCUCAUAAGAGCAGUGGAAACUACAUAGCUAGAGUGCGUUCGGGGCAAAGGGAAUUCCUGGUGUAGCGGUGAAAUGCGUAGAGAUCAGGAAGAACACCGGUGGCGAAAGCGCUUUGCUAGGCCGCAACUGACACUGAGGGACGAAAGCUAGGGGAGCGAAUGGG